AAAGUGCUGCUGGUCCGCAACAUGCCCUGCGUUUCUCCGGCUCUGUGGAGUCGCUUAGCCUUAGUUGGAGUUUCUCCGUGUUGGAGGAGGCGCUGGUUGGGAAACGCGCUCCGGAAAACUCCAAGAUCUGUGCGGGGAUCUCCUGCGCGUCUGGUGAGACCAAAUGAUAUCACGGAUCCAUGCGGAAUGUGUCUCUUUGCAAGUUACUCAAGGAAUACAAAACACUUGGUGAUUCCCUGCUGUGCGCGCUCACGGAGAAGGCUGCGCGUGACCGACCAUGUUGGCUCUUACAGGCAGUUUAAAGCGAAGCGAGUUCCCAGUGCAUCAGAGUACUUCCAUCCAUUGCUCUGAAAAGACUGUCUGGCAUGAAGCAUAACGACAGACAACUGAGGAGGCACGCAGGAUUCCCCAGACUCUGAAUUAGUGUGUUUCUUUAGACAAACUCACUUCUUCCUGACAAACAGAGGAAGCUUUUAGCCAGGGCUUGAGUUAAGGAAGAAGAAGAAAGGAUGUCAGUUCCUUAGUAGAAGCCAAUAACAAAAAAGAAACCCCUAGCCGCUUUUAAACUGUUACUGAAUUCUUGUUAGAUGAAAUGGUCAGUGUCCAUAUUUAAAUUCUAUCUAUCUAUCUGUCUGUCUGUCUGUCUGUCUGUUCGGUGUAUACAUCAAGUUGUAGAUGUACCGUGAGGGUUUCAUGGCAACCCAUGUUAUAAUAAAAAAGAAGAUUGGCUACUAUCCAAUAAAUGUCUAAGGUUGAAACUGUAACAGGUUCAUAGGGUUUUUCCAGCCACAAGUCUAGGCAACUUUCUCCUACUUGUUAAAUGAGCACACAGGAAAAACUUAAUAUAUUGGGGAA